AAGCCCUUAAUAAAUAUUUUGCAUACUUUCUAAUGACAAUGAAUGGAAUUAAUCACGCUACAGGUAUAGUAUUACAACUCAUGUUUACUUUUUAAAAUGAUUUAGACUGAUUUUCAGCUUUUAUUUCAUUACAAUUAAAGAUGUCUCAUGUACUUGGAAAAGUGAGCAUAUUUUUUUUUGUAUUUGAAUUUCAUAUCAAGCUUAAUGUCAGUGACAUUUUUUUAUUUUUGAAGUACUUUGACACUCCCAGCCUCUACUUUAUUAGAAUUGGAAGACGAAUUUUUCUUCAAAAGCCUUCUACAGACAAAUACUUUUGAAAGAACUUCAAAUAUAACAUUAAGCAUAAUAUUUUUUCCAUACUCAGAAUGAAAAUAAACUGGAUAUUACCUUUUUUUUUUUUUUUGUACAAAUUUAAAUACUAGGUCCAGGCUGGAAGAAUUGUAACAUAGCAUGAUAUCUUUGUGUUAACUUGAAAGGACUGACCCCAUUGUCCCUUAGAAGUACUGACGUGUGCCAUCACGCAUUUAAGACAGGAUUGGACUGUCAUCUCGCAUCAGAAACCGUUACAAUUUCCUGUUGCUGUACAGCCUCUUCUGAACUCUCUUCUCUCUUUGGUGUUCAUAGAGACAUUUCCAAUGGCAUUGCUUGAUUCAAAACCAAGGAAACCAGAACCAUUGAUCUUCUAUCUCUGUGAUUGCUAAGCAGUAGCCAAAUAACCUUCCUUUGCUGUAUCUGCGUCCCUUCUGAAGGCACUUUAUGGAGGUCACAUCUGGUUUUGUUUCCAUUUUUUUUUUUUUUUUCACGAAUAUCACUCGUGGCGAUUGCUCCUGCCUCCCUGCACAAGUCUAUCCGGUGCGGUAUCUAUCAGGUGUGAACUUGGCUGCUAGCGUAUGAACCCAGAUGUGACGCAGAGCCUCUGCAGCGAUCUUCUCCAACUGUUCUGUAAUCUCUACUCAACAAUAAGGUUUUAGUUACUGUAUACACUUAACCAAGUUGUGUGACCUAUGACCUACUUUGCAUGCUCUGAUACUGUGUGCCGCCCCCACCCCCACCCCCCAGGUCGUGUCUGUUGUGUGCUAGUUUAAAAGUGACCUAGAAAGCCCAGUAGGAACCACAGAGCUCAAGCUGUCUGGCUCAAGUGGUGGAAGAGUGAGGGAGUCUGCAGUUUGUAAGUCUCGUUCUGUUGUGUUCUGAGAAGAUGCCUGAGGCAGUAUGGGAGUUUCAACACCCCUGCUGUCCCUUUAACUUGUAUUGUCCUAGACCCUGUCCUGGAAGUUAGAGGACGUGGGGUAUUUUUUUUUUUGAUCUCUUGCCAGUUGUGAAUAAGACAGAAAGACUGUGUUCUCUGUUACGUAAGAAGGGUCUUUGGUAGAAGAAAUUGCUCGUGUUUACACAGCUGUGGAUGCCAUGAAGAAGCCGUGGACAUUCUUGGUGGGUGAAGCCCUAGACGAUGGAAUCCUACCAAGCUGAACGUCGGCUUCUAUCCAUAUGCUAUCGAGUAAUUAUAGAAGCAAUUAACACUCACUGUUCUUGCCUCUGGUGAGAUAUUUUUCUCCUGUAGUUAACAGAUAUUGGGUGGGGGGAGGGGAGAUACUUUUUUUUUAAUAACCUUCCAAGUCCAGAACCAUCUCUGUUAUAGAGUGUGCCAAAGCCUGAGCUAAGCAGUGUAUUUUAAUCGAAGAAGAAACCAAAAUCUGUUCUAAGAACUGGGGUUCUAUACCUCUGUAGGCCCUUUAUUGAACAGCAUUAUUCACUAGAUGCAAAGGGAGCCAGCAAGAUGGCUCAGUGAGUCUGGGUGCUUGUCACCUAGCCUGACAUUCUGAGUUCAAUCCCUGGGACCCGCCUGAUAGGAGAGAACUGACUUCUACAAGUUGUCCUCUGACCCAAUAGAUUUACAAACAAACAAACAAAAG
rnacentral:lncRNA from 1 species